AAUUUUCCCUCUUAGGAAGAUAGGAGCUUUUCUGGAAACAGACCCAACUGCGCUUUGAAAAACUUUGGAAAAGACCCUGAACCCUGUAACUCCUCUGAAUCCCCAGUCCCAGGAACAGGGACACCCACUCAAUGCCUCACCCACAGCCUGGGGAGCCCACAGCUGAGCCGGCCCUCUUAUCACGUCUCUUGGACAAAAAGUAUUGAAAAGUUCAUGUGGCAUGAAAAGACGACAGACUCAGGAGGGCCCCAGAGGCGCACACUUUGAUUUUUAUCUACGUUGCUUUCCCAGAAAGUUCCUGAGAAGUCAGACGCUGUGCUUCGUUGCAUAUCGGGUCAGCCCAAGCCAGAGGUAACUUCGUAUAAGAAUGGUCAAACCAUAGAUGAGUGUGGCAUUGUCUCCAGUUGUGAAUUCUUUGAGAAUCAAUAUAUUCAUCUAUUACAUCUCUAUCGGUCAAGUGUGCUUGGCAGACAAAAGACAUGGAAAGCCAAGAAAGCAUUCCAAGAGAGAGAAGCAUCAAUGAUAACAUGAAAGCAAGUCACGAGGACGUGUAUACAAAUGGGGAACUGUGGUCUCUUAUGAACACAAUUUAAAGACAGGCAGCAGAGCAACAGAUAAAAAUCUGUCCAGGAACCCACACCUAGAGAGAGAAACUCCUCUCCGCAGCAAGGAGGCCUCUUUGGAUGGUCACGGUCAUGUCCAGCAGUGCUGAGAGUAAACCCAGAUUACAACUUAGCCCUGGCGUUGGCUGGGCUGGAGGCGGACCCUGCAGAAGGCCUGGUGGGGACAGUGGCCGGGAGAACUGCACAGUCAUCACAAGCCAGUCUGCUCAUACGCAGAUGGAGUGGGGAAACAGCCAUGUGAAGACAGGCAGAGAUUGGAGCGAUGCAGCUGUCAGGUGAGAAAAGCCCAGGAUUGCCAGCGGCCACCCGAGGCUGGGAAGGGGCAAAAGGAGAGAUUCUUCCCGAGAGCCUUCAGAGGGAGCGUGGUCCUGCUGAGACCUUGAUUUUGGACUUCUGGCCUCCAGAACUGUGAAGGAAUAACUUUUUGUUUUAUGCUAUUCUCUUUGUGGUAGCUUGUUAUGCCGGCUCUAGGAAACUAAUACGUGGUGUGUCUGAGCAUUCUAAAAAAAUGCUGCUAUUUACCCACCUUGGCAUAGGGCUGACCAGCUUUACCUGAUGACAUAGAGCUGGUUCCCAAGAAGAUACCAGCUGAGUUCAUCCAGGCCACCUGGGAGGCAUCUGUGGGUCAAAGGGCAAAGGACGUUUUUCCAACUCUACCAUAACUGGGUAUUGAUUACUCAAGAUUUUGAAGGAAAAAAAUCAAGCUGAAGAUUUCCUGGGUCACUUAUGUUUUUGCCCCCAGGGAACAUCUGGCCAUGUCUGGAGACAUUUUUGAUUGUCACAGCUGGGAAGGGGUGCUACUGGCAUCCAGGGGGUAGAGGCCAAGGAUGCUGCUGAAUGUUUGACAUUGCCCGGGGCAACACCCCACAACAAAGAACCAUCCAUUCUAUAAUGCCAGCAGUGCUGAGGUCGAGAAACGGUAUAAUAAACCACCACAAAACAAAACAGAGUGCCCUGAAACAGCAGCAGCUGAUUAUUUCUCACGAAUCUGUGGGCUGGCAGUGGUUCUUCUCCUGGAGUUGCCUGGCCCACUCGUGCUCACUCAUGGACUUGAGUCAGUCUGGGGGUUGGCUGGGCUGGGAGGUCCAAGACGGCUUCACCAGCAGGUCUGGCAGUUGAUGCUGGCUGUUGGCUGGGCCACCUCAGUUCUCCUCCACGUAGACCCUUACCCUCCAGUUGGCUGGAACUGGCUUCCUAUGUGUCGGUCUCAGGGGAGCAAUCCAGGAGAAAGCUGCAAGCCCUCUUGAGCUCCUUCACAGCACCAUCCCCACCACAUCCUCUGGGCCAAAGCAAGUCACAGGGCCAGACCAGAUUCAAGAGGCAGGAAGAGAGACGCCACCUCUUAAAGAGUGGAGUAGGAAUGUCACAUUGCAACAGGGUGUACAUAACUGGAUGAGGAAUUAGUGGCCACAUUUUGUAAUCUACUGUACCCUUAAGAGUUUAAAAUAAGCUUUGCUGCUUGAGAGCUGUGUGGCAUUGAGCAAGUCAGUUAACUUCGCUGAGCUUCAGUUUCUUCAUCCGUAAAAUGAGUGUUUGUGAUGAUGUAUUGAGAUGAUUCAUGCAAAAUGAUCGGCGAAGUGUGCAGGUCAGUGCAACGAAUAUUGUUACUAAUUAUCACUUCCUGAAAGUCUUGUGUUCCCAGAAUUACUCUGAAAAAAUUACUCUGUCCUAGCAUAUAACACCAGGUGUGUUUAGAGCCAGAAUAAUUUUUUUUUGAGCCAGAAUAAUUUUAUAUGAAUAGUUUUGAAAAUGUUAUUAUCAAUGGAGAAUUUUGAAAGACAAGAAGGAAAUGGAUAUUUAACAGGAGAGCUGUAACCCAGACACAGGGUUGAAGAUGUUUCUGUCAUACAUGUUUAUACUCCAAACCCUGUUUGGAUGGUUUUUAGAAGGUGGAAUCUGUGACUUUAGUGAAGUCUCGGCCUUCUCAGUUAUUCCUCACAUCUGGACAGACAGACAGACACCAGGAGUCUUGGGACCCUGUUAUAUUCCUGAAGCCACUCCGGUUUGUAGCUGGCAGAAGCUUGUUCAUAAGUGCUUGUUGUCUGAGCCAAAGACUUUGGCCCCUGGAGGGACCCUCAGCCUCCUUCUCUACCCAGGUAAACACAGAUUCUUUCCCAAACACCUAAAAAACAUGAGUUGCUGGUUAUCAAUGAGGCUGGGCAAAUGAGCAGUGGUGAAUCCGUUAAGAAUAUCUCCAUUCCUGGAAGAAACACCUCAAGGCACACAUCCUGCUAAAGGUAGAAGUGUUACCAUCAACUUCGCUUACAAAGGACAGGCAAUUAUAUCCACCAUUGAAAGCAAGGAUUUGAAGCCAGGUUGUCUGGAUUUAAAUCCCAGAUCUACCUCUUACAAGUUGUAUCAUCUUGGGCAAGUUACUUAACCUCUCUGGGCCUCCACUUCCUCACUUGCAAAAUGGAGAUAAAGAUAGUACCUCCUCUAUAGCGCUGGCACAGGGAUGAAAUCAACACAUGCAAAGAAUUUAGAAUACUCUAUAAAUAAUAGUUACUUUGUGCAACUUGAACAUUUCAGUUCCCCACACUGAACUAUAAUUUUGGAACUGAUUAAAAACAAGACAAUUUAGAGGUAAGAAAAGUAGCUUAAUAAAAAGGAAUGAAAUAGUGCCAUUUGCAGAGACGUGGUAAGUCAGAAAGAGAAAAACAAAUAUCGUAUAAUAUCGCUUAUAUGUGGAAUCUAGAAAAAUGGUACAGAUGAACUUAUUCACAAUGCAGAAAUAGAGACACAGAAGUAGAGAACAAACGUAUGGAUACCAAGGGGGAAAGAGGGUGGGAUGAAUUGGGAGAUUGGGAUUGACAUAUAUACACUAUUGAUACCAUGUAUAAAAUAGAUAACUAAUGAGAACCUACUGUAUAGCACAGGGAACCCUACUCAGUGCUCUGUGGUGACCUAAAUGGGAAGGAAAUCUAAAAAAGAGGGGAUAUAUGUAUACGUAUAGCUGAUUCACUUUGCUGUACAGCAGAAACUAACACAACAUUGUAAAGCAACUAUACUCUAAUAAAAAUUAACUUAAAAAAAAAGAAAGGUAGCUUAGUUUGGCAGUG